CAGCAGCCGCGGUAGUACGUAGGUGGCAAGCGUUGUCCGGAAUUAUUGGGCGUAAAGCGCGCGCAGGCGGAUAGGUCAGUCUGUCUUAAAAGUUCGGGGCUUAACCCCGUGAUGGGAUGGAAACUGCCAAUCUUGAGUAUCGGAGAGGAAAGUGGAAUUCCUAGUGUAGCGGUGAAAUGCGUAGAUAUUAGGAAGAACACCAGUGGCGAAGGCGACUUUCUGGACGAAAACUGACGCUGAGGCGCGAAAGCCAGGGGAGCGAACGGGAUUAGAUACCCCAGUAGUCCCUGUCUCUUAUACA
rnacentral:rRNA from 1 species